rnacentral:sRNA from 1 species
GACCUAACCCCUUAGAAUUUUUAAAAUUCCUAGGAUAUGGUCGUUAGUCAAAAUCCUUCCCAGGUAAAGAACUCCUCGUCAGAGUCACCUGGGAAGGUCAUAUCCCGAAAGGGGUAUGGGUUGGCCGCAAGGUCAAUC